UGCAGAAUCCCGUGAACCAUCGAGUCUUUGAAUGCAAGUUGCGCCCAAUACCUUUAGGUUGAGGGCACGUCUGCCUGGGUGUCACACAAAGCGUCGCACCCCACCAAUCCCCUUUGGUUGGGAGCGGAUAUUGCCCCCCCCAAACCCCUAGGGGCACGGUUGGCACAAAUAUUGGUCUCCAGCGGCGUGCGUUGAAGUCAACGGUGAUUUAAAAACACAUGUGGACUUGUUGGCCUCGCCGACUGUGCGGCGAAAUAACCCUUAGAACCUGUUCUCAAGGCGUUCACCACGCGACCCCAGGUCAGGCGGGAUUACCCGCUGAAUUUAAGCAUAUCAAUAAGCGGAGGAAAAGAAACUUACGAGGAUUCCCCUAGUAACGGCGAGCGAACCGGGAAUAGCCCAGCUUGAGAAUCAGAUGGCUCCGCCAUCUGA
rnacentral:rRNA from 1 species